UACGUAGGGGGCAAGCGUUGUCCGGAUUUAUUGGGCGUAAAGAGCGUGUAGGCGGCCCGGUAAGUCCGCUGUAAAAGUCAAAGGCUCAACCUUUGAAUGUCAGUGGAUACUGCCGGGCUAGAGUCCGGAAGAGGCGAGUGGAACUCCUGGUGUAGCGGUGGAAUGCGCAGAUAUCAGGAAGAACGCCAACGGCGAAGGCAGCUCGCUGGGACGGUACUGACGCUGAGACGCGAAAGCGUGGGGAGCGAACAGG
rnacentral:rRNA from 1 species